rfam:Camelus ferus unplaced genomic scaffold scaffold483, whole genome shotgun sequence.
UGGGUAAUAGCUCAGUGGUACAGCGCAUGCUUAGCAUGCAUGAGGUCCUAGGUUCAAUCCCCAGUACCUCCA